AUUGAACGCUGGCGGCAUACUUAACACAUGCAAGUCGAACGGUAACAGGCAAAAGCUUGCUUUUGUGCUGACGAGUGGCGGACGGGUGAGUAAUGCAUAGGAAUCUGCCCUAAAGUGGGGGACAACCCGAGGAAACUCGGGCUGAUACCGCAUAUUGCCUUCGGGUGAAAGCUGGGGCCUUUUUGGCCUGGCGCUUUAGGAUGAGCCUAUGUUGGAUUAGCUAGUAGGUGGGGUAAAGGCCUACCUAGGCGAUGAUCCAUAGCUGGUCUGAGAGGAUGAUCAGCCACACUGGGACUGAGACACGGCCCAGACUCCUACGGGAGGCAGCAGUGGGGAAUAUUGGACAAUGGGGGAAACCCUGAUCCAGCAAUGCCGCGUGUGUGAAGAAGGCCUUAGGGUUGUAAAGCACUUUCAGUGGGGAAGAAGUGUUUAGUGUGAAUAGCACUGAAUAUUGACGUUACCCAAAGAAGAAGCACCGGCUAACUCUGUGCCAGCCGCCGCCGUAACAC
rnacentral:rRNA from 1 species